AUAUCAAUAAGCGGUGGAAAAGAAACGAAAACGAAUUCUCCAAGUAGCGGCGAGCGAAACGAGAAAAGUCCAUACACCGAAGUCGGCGAGCAGUUGUGUUCGUCAACAGUGUGGUGUUAAAGGUGUCGUUGCAUGUGCUGAAAUCAGUUCGUAGGCUCCCUUGAUUGGGGCUUCAGAGCGGGUGCAGGACCCAUAACGAACGAUGUUUUGUGCAUGGUGUCGCGGCUCCUAAUCGAGUCGGGUUGCUUGAGACUGCAGCCCAAAGCGGGUGGUAAAUCUCACCCAAGACUAAAUAUUCGUACGAGACCGAUAGCGAACAAGUACCGCGAGGGAAAGUUGAAAAGAACUCUGAAGAGAGAGUUCAACAGGACGUGAAACCGUUGACAGGCAAACGGAUGGAGCUGACGGUGCAAUUUUGACCAAAAUCAGUCGUCGCUGGGUUCGUUGGCGAAUGGAAUCUU
rnacentral:ncRNA from 1 species